rnacentral:rRNA from 1 species
GCUCAGAUUGAACGCUGGCGGCAGGCCUAACACAUGCAAGUCGAACGGUAGCACAGAGGAGCUUGCUCCUUGGGUGACGAGUGGCGGACGGGUGAGUAAUGUCUGGGAAACUGCCCGAUGGAGGGGGAUAACUACUGGAAACGGUAGCUAAUACCGCAUAACGUCGCAAGACCAAAGAGGGGGACCUUCGGGCCUCUUGCCAUCGGAUGUGCCCAGAUGGGAUUAGCUAGUAGGUGGGGUAACGGCUCACCUAGGCGACGAUCCCUAGCUGGUCUGAGAGGAUGACCAGCCACACUGGAACUGAGACACGGUCCAGACUCCUACGGGAGGCAGCAGUGGGGAAUAUUGCACAAUGGGCGCAAGCCUGAUGCAGCCAUGCCGCGUGUAUGAAGAAGGCCUUCGGGUUGUAAAGUACUUUCAGCGAGGAGGAAGGCGUUGUGGUUAAUAACCGCAGCGAUUGACGUUACUCGCAGAAGAAGCACCGGCUAACUCCGUGCCAGCAGCCGCGGUAAUACGGAGGGUGCAAGCGUUAAUCGGAAUUACUGGGCGUAAAGCGCACGCAGGCGGUCUGUCAAGUCGGAUGUGAAAUCCCCGGGCUCAACCUGGGAACUGCAUCCGAAACUGGCAGGCUAGAGUCUUGUAGAGGGGGGUAGAAUUCCAGGUGUAGCGGUGAAAUGCGUAGAGAUCUGGAGGAAUACCGGUGGCGAAGGCGGCCCCCUGGACAAAGACUGACGCUCAGGUGCGAAAGCGUGGGGAGCAAACAGGAUUAGGUACCCUGGUAGUCCACGCCGUAAACGAUGUCGACUUGGAGGUUGUGCCCUUGAGGCGUGGCUUCCGGAGCUAACGCGUUAAGUCGACCGCCUGGGGAGUACGGCCGCAAGGUUAAAACUCAAAUGAAUUGACGGGGGCCCGCACAAGCGGUGGAGCAUGUGGUUUAAUUCGAUGCAACGCGAAGAACCUUACCUACUCUUGACAUCCAGAGAACUUAGCAGAGAUGCUUUGGUGCCUUCGGGAACUCUGAGACAGGUGCUGCAUGGCUGUCGUCAGCUCGUGUUGUGAAAUGUUGGGUUAAGUCCCGCAACGAGCGCAACCCUUAUCCUUUGUUGCCAGCGGUUAGGCCGGGAACUCAAAGGAGACUGCCAGUGAUAAACUGGAGGAAGGUGGGGAUGACGUCAAGUCAUCAUGGCCCUUACGAGUAGGGCUACACACGUGCUACAAUGGCAUAUACAAAGAGAAGCGACCUCGCGAGAGCAAGCGGACCUCAUAAAGUAUGUCGUAGUCCGGAUUGGAGUCUGCAACUCGACUCCAUGAAGUCGGAAUCGCUAGUAAUCGUGGAUCAGAAUGCCACGGUGAAUACGUUCCCGGGCCUUGUACACACCGCCCGUCACACCAUGGGAGUGGGUUGCAAAAGAAGUAGGUAGCUUAACCUUCGGGAGGGCGCUUACCACUUUGUGAUUCAUGACUGGGG